GGAUGUGAGGGUCAUCCGACUGCGACAUCUGUCACCCCACUGAUGGCCAGGGUUGAUUUGGCUGAUCUGGCUGGCUAGGUGGGUGUCCCCUUCCUCCCUCACCGCUUCAUGUGCGUCCCACCUGGAAGCUGCACACUAGGUGGAAGAGGACGGGUCUUCGGUUGAGGGUAUAUGAGUAGCUGCGCUCCCCCUCUAGAACCUCCAAACCAGCUCUCAAGGUCCAAAAGUGCCACUAAAUGAGUCCAGUUAUACGUCAUCCAUAAACUGGUAUCUAUAAAAGUAGCAUCACUG
ensembl:misc_RNA 7SK 7SK RNA